UACGAAGGGGGCUAGCGUUGUUCGGGAUCACUGGGCGUAAAGCGCGCGUAGGCGGCGCGUUAAGUCAGGGGUGAAACCCUGGAGCUAAACUCCAGAACUGCCUUUGAUACUGGCGUGCUCGAGUGAGGGAGAGGUUGGUGGAACUCCGAGUGUAGAGGUGAAAUUCGUAGAUAUUCGGAAGAACACCAGUGUCGAUGGCGGCCAACUGGAACGUUACUGACGCUGAGGUGCGCAACCGGGGGAACCACACAGG
rnacentral:rRNA from 1 species